rnacentral:misc_RNA from 1 species
ACUUAAGCCAGAUAUAGCAGCUCCAGGAGUCAAUAUAUUGGCUGCUGUUCUUCCUGCAGACACUCCAUACAGGUUUGAAUCAGGAACAUCCAUGGCAGCUCCUCACGUGUCUGGCAUUGUUGCCUUGCUCAAGUCCCUUCACCCACAUUGGUCUCCAGCUGCUAUCAAGUCUGCACUCGUUACAACAGCAUGGGUAACAGAUCCUCAUUCUGGGGAACCAGUUAUAUCUGAGGGAAAUCCAAACAAGCUUGCUGAUCCAUUUGAUUUCGGUGGUGGACUCGUGAACACAAAUGGUGCAAAAGAUCCUGGCCUAGUCUAUGAUAUGGGAACCUUUGACUACAUUCUUUAUUUGUGCUCAAUGGGCUAUAACAAUAGUGCCAUCAGUAUGCUCAUUGAUCAAGCUGCAUCUUGUCCAAUCAAGAGACCUUCAAUUCUUGAUGUUAAUCUUCCUUCUCUAACCAUACCAAGUCUCAGGAAAAAAG